AAGGCAUGUAGACAUGCUGCUGGAGAGCCAGAACUCCAUGCGUUAAAACUUUGUUCAUUUGCACAUCAUCUCUCAUUCACAUUUGCUUGUAAAAUGUCCAAACUCUCCAAAUAUGCCAUUCGGUAGCUACCGCCCAACUAUAGUUUGGUCCUGACUGGAUUUACAACCCUGUUCUAUUUGGACUGAGCUGUUAGUGAGCCAAGUUUUCACAUCUUGCUCUUUCUCUCUCAAUUCAAUUGAAAGGACUUUAUUGGCAUGGGACACACAUGUCUACAUUGCCAAAGCCAGUGAAAUACAUAAUAAACAAAAGUGAAAUAAACGAACUGCUAACGUUAGCCAUCAAGCUAAUGAAGUCAGAGAUGAGUUUUCCAAUGGAGCCCUCUCUGACUGGAGAGGUAAAUGAAUGAUUCCUGAUGAGUUGUCUGGAGAGAUAAAUGAAUGAUUCCUGAUGAGUUGUCUGGAGAGGUAAAUGAAUGGUUCCUGAUGAGUUGUCUGGAGAGGUAAAUGAAUGAUUCCUGAUGAGUUGUCUGGAGAGGUAAAUGAAUGAUUCCUGAUGAGUUGUCUGGAGAGGUAAAUGAAUGAUUCCUGAUGAGUUGUCUGGAGAGGUAAAUGAAUGAUUCCUGAUGAGUUGUCUGGAGAGGUAAAUGAAUGAUUCCUGAUGAGUUGUCUGGAGAGGUAAAUUAAUGAUUCCUGAUGAGUUGUCUGGAAAGGUAAAUGAAUGAUUCCUGAUGAGUUGUCUGGAGAGGUAAAUUAAUGAUUCCUGAUGAGUUGUCUGGAGAGGUAAAUGAAUGAUUCCUGAUGAGUUGUCUGGAGAGGUAAAUUAAUGAUUCCUGAUGAGGUGUCUGGAGAGGUAAAUGAACGGUUCCUGCGCUGUAGGAGCUGUAUCUACUACGCUUUGUUUUCGGGACAAACCGGAUCACUCAGAGUUCCAGUGCGAUAAUUGUUUGCUUGCCGAGGAUUAUAGGCUUGAUGUGGCUUCCUUGAUCACAGAGGUCGCCAGCCUACAUAAGAAACUGAGGAAAUUUCUACGCCUGUUCCUUGGAUGGUGUUCGCACCGACUGGCCGGUGUUGCCCGGAGUUGGUUCGCCAGGGGAGCCAACUCCUGCCUCUCCUCCCCCAUCUGAUAGCGGAAUCGAAGGAGCACAGCAAGAGGAGCAUGACAAUCAACGAUGGUUGCAUGUGGAUGCCAGCACCAUCCUGUGAAGCGUGGGAGUGGUUGGAUUUCUAAGUCAUUCUCACCAGCCAUGGUUUUGGGCAGCUCCAUGGUAAGGAAUGUGACAGUUCCUGGUGCUGAAACAAUGUCCUACCCCGGAGCUCGGGUAAAUGACAUUACUAAGCAGUUGAAACUGGAUUUCAAAGAGCUGAUUGACUCUCUGCUAGACACUAAUAUAAGACCCAUCAUAUCUGGCCCUGUGCUCUUCUCUGAAUCGUGUCAUUGAACACUUUAGCAGGAUUUUUUUCUCUUCACAACUGGCUACGUGAAUUUUGCAGCUCGAUGGGUGUAACUUUUUGUUGACAAUAUCGAUACCUUUUUUAAACAAAACACGUUUUAUCAGGAGGAUGGGAUAAAACCACUUGGUUUCCUGGAUCCUUUCACUGCAUUAUAAGGCUGUGUUGAGACAAUGACUUAUCAAUGACCCCAGCUCAGUUAAUCCCUACCAUUGUGUCGCUGAGUCAUCAUAAUGCUUCAGUAAUUGUACAUUAUACCAGUGGCGUUGGUAGACACAAUGUAAGUAACCUAAUUCAUGACCCUCUAACUGCCCCGAAUGCCUCUGCUGAUCCUACAGCUAUUGUAUGCAGCAAUCAUGUGUCUAUGAACCAGAUUUAUGUUGUUAGCACUAAGGCGGUGUGCCCUAGUAGGAUGUCCACUGUGUGCAGCUCACCCUGCACAAACUAACAUUAAAUAACAUGAUAAUAUCUACUUCUGCUAAGCUUCUCAGUAAAGAAAUGAAAACAAGCAAGCAUCCCAGAAAAGUACUCAAAAUAGCCCACGUUAACAUAUGUAUCUUAAGAAACAAGGUUCAUGAAAUGUAUAACUUGCUAGUAACAGAUCACAUUCAUAUCCUGACACUCUCUGAAACUCAAUUAGACAUUACCUUUGAUAAAGUGAUAGCAAUACAAGGUUAUAACAUUUACAGAAAAUACAUGUCAGUGGUGGAGGUGUUGCUGUUUAUAUUCAGAACCACAUUCCUGUAAAGAUUAGAGAGGAUCUCAUGUUAAACACUGUUGAAGUAAUAUGGCUACAGGUUCAUCUGCCUCACUUAAAGCCCGUUCUGGUGGGAAGCUGCUAUAGACCACUAAGUGCUAACAGUCAGUAUCUGGAUAAUGUUAAAUACUGUUGAAGUAAUAUGGCUACAGGUUCAUCUGCCUCACUUAAAGCCCGUUCUGGUGGGAAGCUGCUAUAGACUAAGUGCUAACAGUCAGUAUCUGGAUAACGUGUGAAAUGCUUGAUAAUGUAUGUGAUAUCAACAGAGGUAUAUUAUCUGGGUGAUUUAAAUAUUGACUGGCUUUCAUCAAGCUGCCCACUCAAGAAAAAGCUUCAAACUGUAACCAGUACCUGCAACCUGGUUCAGGUUAUCAUUCAACCGACCAGGGUCUAUACAAACAGCACAGGAAUGAAAUCAUGUAUUGAUCACAUCUUUACUAAUGCUGCGGAUAUGUGUUUAAAAGCAGUAUCCAGAUCCAUCAGAUGUAGUGAUCACAGUAUAGUAGCCAUAUCUAGGAAAACCAAAGUUCCAAAGACUGGGCCUAAUAUAGUGUAUACGAACGAGGUCAUACAAUACGUGUUGGAGUGAUACCUAUGGUGUUGAUGUAAAGAAUAUUAGUUGGUCCAUGAUGUGUAAUGAGAAGCAAACAGAUGCUGCACUUAACACAUUUAUGAAAUUGCUUACUCCAUUUACUAAUAAGCAUGUACCAUUUAAAAUAAAAAGAACUGUAAAAACUGUUAAAUCCCUGUGGAUUGAUGAGGAAUUGAAAAAGGGUAUGGUUGAGAGGGAUGAGGCAAAAGGAAUGGGUACUCUGGCUGCACAACUGAUUGGCAAACAUAUUGCACAUUGAGAAAUCAUGUGACUAAACUGAAUAAAAAGAAGAAACUACUCUAUGAAACAAAGAUAAAUGACAUAAAGAAUGAUAGUAAAAAGCUUUGGAGCGCUUUUGUCGUGUCUUUGGCAUCAUUAAACUGAAGACUUACUUAUCAAACAACUCUGUAAUUAUUAUUACGCGAUUAAACUGAUUAAUCAAAUGUAAUUAACUAGGAAGUCGGGGUUCCAAGGAAAAUAUUCAAAUGACAAAGUUAUAAUUUUCCUAAUACAACUUUUCAGAUAUUUUAAUAUCUGAUCAAUUAGUCUUCUUAAUUAAUGAAUUAUUUUACCUCACGUUAGUCUCAUUCCAAACGUUGUAAAUUGUUGGUUAUCUGCACAAACCCAGUCUUCACUUUGAGUCAUCCAUAUAUAAAUUGUCUUAAAAUCGUUUAUUUACUAAGUAAUUCACAGAAAUGCAUAACACAAACAAAGUAGAUGGUUACAAAGAAAUGAUAGCGGAUGUGCCCCUAGUGGGCUAAACCGGCAUGGCGGCUUGCUAGACAACAGGGGAAGUUAGGGGUCAGCUGAGAAGUCCCGACAGAGUUGAUAAUUAUAACAAUUGAAAUGCUAAUUCUUUGCACAUGAACACUCACUCAUUUGGGAUCAAUUGCAAUCAAUAUAUAUAUUUACGCUCAGUGUGUCGUCGGGAUCUCUGUUGAAAAGUUUAUUUCUGUUGGAGAGUUUGUCUGCUCUCUCUCUCUGUCGUAUUUAGAAUGGAUAGUUCAGAGUGACAUUCAUCGUUAUAGAAUAGAUGUUUCGGCGGUUGUCGGUCUUCGCAUUCAAUGAUACCGAAUUCCUAGCUGCAGACUAGUAAUUAAUAUUUCUUUCCUUAAUGCAUUUAUGCUAAUCAAUUGUGUUUGUGACAAGGUAGGGGUGGAAUACAGAAAAUAGCCCUAUUUGAUAAAAUACCAAGUCCAUAUUAUGGCAAGAACAGAGCAAAUAAGCAAGUUAAACAACAGUCCAUCAUUACUUUAAGACACAAAGGUCAGUAUGCAGAAAAUUUCAAGAACUCUUGAAUGAGUUAGUGUGUCCAAACUUUUGACUGGUACUGUACGUCUCUCAUAUGGUCAUACAAUUGGCAGGAUGUUAGGAAGUGCAGCUCCGUUUCCACCUCAUUUUGUGGGCAGUGUACAUAGCCUGUCUUAUCGUGAGAGCCAGGUCUCUCUCUCUCUGUCCGUGUCUCUCUUUGUUUUUCCUCUCAUUGUCAUUCAACCUCCCAAACAGAAAGAUGGCACUCGUCAUACAGUAUAGUACCCAUCGCUGCUGUGGGUCUAUAUCUGUAACUUCUAUCACUCUGCAUGACUGCUGUAGACGUAAAGAAUAAACAGAUACUGUAUCUCCAUAGAGACGUCUCUCAUCAUGUCUG